UAAACAAACGGCUGUGGCGGCUUCGGUUCUGCCCAAUAGUUAUGAGCAAGAGUCCUGAACCAGAAGAUGACCGACCCGGUCCACUUUCACAAGCUGGACUGGAGCAGAAAACAAGCGUACCCACUGUCCCGCAGCCGGAAGGAGGGAGAAAUAUGAAGCUUCAAGACUUCGGACGACAAUAUCCACAACUUGGAAUACUUUUAUGAGAAACCAUUUUGAUUUUAUGAUUUGUGAACACUUCCGGACUAAAGGAAUAUAAACAAUAGAGGAACAGACAGAUGGCCAACAGGUGGAUCUGUCAUGGCCCAACCUAUCCCAAGAUUCAUUGCGUGCCAGUAAAGAAAACAACAUGGCAGCAAAUGACGCCGACAGAGAGCCCUGGGAUUACUCUUUGAAAUAACCUGCUCCACUGAUACCAAUUAUAUUCUUCAUCAAGCAUUUAAAGUCAACCUAUCUUCCAGAUGUGUUUUGGAUGCAUUCGGAUAGACACUCAGCUCACAGGAGACAACUUCUUGCUCGCCUACACCAUGAGGUGA